UUCCGGGAAACGAGUUAUCUGAACCUUCGGGGUAACGAUAACGGCGUCGAGCGGCGGACGGGUGAGUAAUGCCUGGGAAAUUGCCCUGAUGUGGGGGAUAACUAUUGGAAACGAUAGCUAAUACCGCAUAACGUCUACGGACCAAAGAGGGGGACCUUCGGGCCUCUCGCUUCAGGAUAUGCCCAGGUGGGAUUAGCUAGUUGGUGAGGUAAUGGCUCACCAAGGCGACGAUCCCUAGCUGGUCUGAGAGGAUGAUCAGCCACACUGGAACUGAGACACGGUCCAGACUCCUACGGGAGGCAGCAGUGGGGAAUAUUGCACAAUGGGCGCAAGCCUGAUGCAGCCAUGCCGCGUGUAUGAAGAAGGCCUUCGGGUUGUAAAGUACUUUCAGUCGUGAGGAAGGCAUUA
rnacentral:rRNA from 1 species